AACGCUGGCGGCGUGCCUAAUACAUGCAAGUCGAACGGUCUUUCUAUGGAAGCUUGCUUCCACUGAGAAGAUAGUGGCGAACGGGUGAGUAACACGUGGGUAACCUGCCCAUAAGAGGGGGGAUAACAUCCGGAAACGGGUGCUAAUACCGCAUAGUUUUCUUGAUCGCAUGAUUGAGAAAGGAAAGACGGCCUUUGUGCUGUCGCUUAUGGAUGGACCCGCGGCGUAUUAGUUAGUUGGUGAGGUAACGGCUCACCAAGACGAUGAUACGUAGCCGACCUGAGAGGGUGAUCGGCCACAUUGGGACUGAGACACGGCCCAAACUCCUACGGGAGGCAGCAGUAGGGAAUCUUCCGCAAUGGACGAAAGUCUGACGGAGCAACGCCGCGUGAGUGAAGAAGGUUUUUCCGGAUCGUAAAACUCUGUUGUCAGAGAAGAACAAGUUGGAGAGUAACUGCUCCAGCCUUGACGGUAUCUGACCAGAAAGCCACGGCUAACUACGUGCCAGCAGCGGC
rnacentral:rRNA from 1 species